rnacentral:rRNA from 1 species
CCUACGUGUGGCUGCAGUGAGGAAUCUUGGUCAAUGGGCGCGAGCCUGAACCAGCCAAGUAGCGUGAAGUAUGACUGCCCUACGGGUUGUAAACUUCUUUUAUAAAGGAAUAAAGUGAGGCACGUGUGCCUUUUUGUAUGUACUUUAUGAAUAAUGAUCGACUAACUCCUUUCCAGCAGCCGCGGUAAUACGGAGGAUCCGAGCGUUAUCCGGAUUUAUUUUGUUUAAAGUGAACGUAGAUGGGUUGUUAAGACAGUUGUGAAAGUUUGCGGCUCAACCGUAAAAUUUAAAUGGAUACUGGCAGCCUUGAGUACAGUUGAGGUAGGCGGAAUUCGUGGUGUAGCGGUGAAAUGAUUAGAUAUCACGAAGAACUCCGAUUGCGAAGGCAGCUGACUAAACUGCAACUGACAUUGAUGCUCGAAAGUGUGGGUAUCAAACAGGAGUAGAUACCCCAGUAGUC